CUGAAGAGAUGCCAUGGAUGAUCAUGUGGCAUCAGACUCUGGGAUGAGAAUUCUUUGAAUAUGUCAUCAACAAGCCAUCUUAUCACACAUGGAUAGGGAAUUUAAAUUUAUUGUAGGUUAUUGCAAAUCUGCAAACUUUAAGUGUCAAUAAAAGGCAAAAAUAUACAAA